rnacentral:tRNA from 1 species
AAGGAUUUAAGUUAAUAAACCCAAACUAAUAGCCUUCAAAGCUAUAAACAAAGAAAGCUUUAAGCCUUA